GCGGCCCAGACCACCAGCAGCAACAACUACCGAGAGCCAGUUCCAGAAAGUGAUCCAGGAGAGCGGAGCAUGUGAGGCUGAUCGAUCUGAGAGGAGAAUCUGAGUGGGAUCUCUGCUGCCAUCACAGCUGUCUAAAAGUGGGUCAGAGGUCAGCGCAGGAGGAAGACAACGCUGCCAUCCACCUGGAGGCUGGUAGGAGAACUGCAGCGGAUCCCUCAGGUUGAGGAUCGGCCUCUCCAGGUCUCCAUCAGAUGUGACGUCAUGGCGACCGGCCUGCAGCCGUCACGUCCUCCGGAUGUUUGAUCUUUGGUACCGGUACCAAACAGGAGGUCUUCCAUCGUUGUGGUACCUUCCCCCCCUCAUCAGGCUCGGACUGAACCUCUGAAGCCUGGAGCUGAUGCCGUCCGUCUGGACCUGCACCGUCUCACACCUCAGUCUGUCGCUGCCCCUUCCUCACCUGAAGAGUUGAGAGGGACAAGAUGGAGGUGGAGGAGCUGACGGAGUCCUCUGUAGCGAAGUGGGUGGAGGACGGCUGAGAACUGAAAAGGUGUGACGUUUAGAGAAGAAAAAUCGUUAAAGAUGAUGUGGCUAACAGCAGGGGGGGUGGGGCCAGGGCCCUGGGGGUCAAACCUGUUGAAGAACUGGUUCAGGUCGUAUGACCCCCAACCAAUAGGUCUCCUAUAGCCUGGGAGUUUGGUUUUCUCACAGCAACUUGACCUUUAUGCUUAAAGUUCUUGAUGAUUGUGAAUAUUUGAUUUCACAUGUUACUGGCACCGAAUGACCAAACGUCGCGUCUCCCAUAAAACACAUGUAUCCAUUUAAGGUAUAAAAUCUAAUAAACUUUCUAUUUCAAAAUGUC